rnacentral:rRNA from 1 species
ACGUAGGAGGCGAGCGUUAUCCGGAUUUACUGGGUGUAAAGCGCGUGCAGGCGGUUCUGCAAGUGGGACGUGAAAUCUCCCGGCUCAACCGGGCGAGGACGUUCCGUACUUCGGGACUAGAGACAGGCAGAGGAGUGUGGAAUUCCCGGUGUAGUGGUGAAAUGCGUAGAGAUCCGGAGGAACACCAGUGGCGAAGGCGACUUGCUGGGUCUGGUCUGACGCUCAGACGCGAAAGCAUGGGUAGCGAACGG